rnacentral:misc_RNA from 1 species
AAGUCGUAACAAGGUUUCCGUAGGUGAACCUGCGGAAGGAUCAUUACCGAUUUUAGCGAACCUGGUCGCUUUUGACCAAGGUUUCGUGAAACUUGUAUUUAAAACCCACACUUUUAUUAAAUAAUAAAAUUUAUCGUAUCAAUUAAAAAAAGAUCACUUUCAACAACGGAUCUCUUGGCUCUC